rnacentral:lncRNA from 1 species
CACAAAGCUAGAUCGAUCCAUAGAAAUUCCAUUGUUUGCUUGGGCGUGUAAGCUUGUCUGCGCUCACUUGUUCACCGGCAGGGCAGACGGUCAAGUCGGCUGACCAAGUCAGGAAAUUCAUGCAAGCACGCCGCCUCCGUCGCGUAUCAUACACGACCGGUUGAUCUUCUUUGUUGCACACUUGCAACUUGCAAGCAAGCUAAUUUUCCCUGAGAAACGCGUUAACGACUAGUACUUGCACCGGGCCAAACAUGCAUAUAUAAAAGCGCUGCGCCGCAUUCAUUAGGAAUGCAUCCAAAACCACAAACAAACUCAUCUGCCAAAACGACGAACGCGCAAGAGUGUCGAGCUCGGGGGCUAGCUGUGACAGGAGACGAGAGAUCAACAACAGUAGCUGGUGGAAUGAAGGCGCGUAGCCCCUCCUUCCUGGCUGUGUGCUUGGCGAUCUUGGCGACCGCACUCAUCAUCUCCGCCGUGCUCGUCGAGCCUGCGCAAGGUAACACACACAAAAUUAAGCUGCUGCUGGUACUGUUAUUACUUACUCAGCUGGAUCAAAACGUUUGCAAAGUGUGUUAUGAUGAAUAACAUAAUCUGCGCGCAGGGUUGAGGCAGCUGCCUUCACCUCCGUCUCCACAAGGAAAUCUACAUCACCAUAACCAUGGGUAGGAUUCUUAUGUCACCUCACAGGCUACUACAAGCUGCAAGUGAAAAGGGGAUGAGAAAUUUGGAGUGCUGCAUGGCGAUAAACCCGCCUGUUUUGUGCUAGUGACUGACGAAGCAAUGAUGCGUUCUCCAUCUUGUCCAUAGACUCAGAGAUGGGGUUUGUAUCUAUAAAAUGAAUUAUUAUAUUAUAUUGAGACUUCUCUUACUCCACCUCAGAGUCACGCAGGUCGCAGAAGUUUAUACUAUGCCAAGUACUAGCUACGAAACAUCUAUAAAAACUGCAGAACUACAAAAGUUAUAUUCCGCUAAUGGACUAGCUGCGAAGGUUUUGAAUUUUGCCUUA